CGUCUCAGUCUGGUGACCAGCGGAGGGAUCAUUACCGAGUUUACAACUCCCAAACCCAAUGUGAACCAUACCAAACUGUUGCCUCGGCGGGGUCACGCCCCGGGUGCGUCGCAGCCCCGGAACCAGGCGCCCGCCGGAGGGACCAACCAAACUCUUUCUGUAGUCCCCUCGCGGACGUUAUUUCUUACAGCUCUGAGCAAAAAUUCAAAAUGAAUCAAAACUUUCAACAACGGAUCUCUUGGUUCUGGCAUCGAUGAAGAACGCAGCGAAAUGCGAUAAGUAAUGUGAAUUGCAGAAUUCAGUGAAUCAUCGAAUCUUUGAACGCACAUUGCGCCCGCCAGUAUUCUGGCGGGCAUGCCUGUCCGAGCGUCAUUUCAACCCUCGAACCCCUCCGGGGGUCCGGCGUUGGGGAUCGGGAACCCCUAAGACGGGAUCCCGGCCCCGAAAUACAGUGGCGGUCUCGCCGCAGCCUCUCAUGCGCAGUAGUUUGCACAACUCGCACCGGGAGCGCGGCGCGUCCACGUCCGUAAAACACCCAACUUCUGAAAUGUUGACCUCGGAUCAGGUAGGAAUACCCGCUGAACUUAAGCAUAUCAAAAAAGG
rnacentral:rRNA from 1 species